CAGACAUGACAAGUGAUGGCCAGGUGCCUGCAAGAGCUCUGUGGCUGACAAGUCAUAGUGAUACUGCUGAUACAUGGUCAAAGGGCAGAAAUACCCCUGAGUAACCUGCCCUGCGUACAUGCGACCUCCUAGCUCAUGAGAUCAUAACCAAGUAUAUCACAAGGGUGGAUAGCCUGAAGGUAUUCCUGGAAACCUUCAAUGUCCCUUGACUGCAGCGCAAAAGAGAUGGCACCAUGGAUUGCUUGCAUAUUGAACGCCUUUUGAAUGAUGCUUAAAGCAACAUCAAUUUGUGCGGUCAUGAUCCACACUUUCACAGCAAAGCUCAUGUCAUCUACAUCAAGGAACACAUUUGCAGAGACAAAAAAGGUCAGCCAUGCGAACGAUCCCACUUCCCCAUAUACAAUCAUCACGUUUUCUUUGCCUUUCAAGAAGGUGUCUACAUUACUGAAGAAACCUUCAAGCAUGUCAUGUAAACCUAUAUCUUUUGGAAGAAUGACUUUAGAAGAAAUGCAGAUUCCGUUCUGCGAAAACAUCGGCUCCAGAGUUGACAAGAAAUGCUCCCCGCUUUUUGUUUCCUUUGUAAUGAUCCCUACCCAUUUCCAUUCAAAAUGCAGAAGGAGUUGGACAAUUCCCCAGAUCUGGAAAUCCUCGUUGGGGACCAUGCGGUAAAAGAAAGGGGCAUCUGUUUGAUCAACCGUCCUUGGCUCAAAUGAACCAUAAGAAACCUACAAGAAUAAAUAAAGAAAUAGUGCCGACGAUGGAACAAGGGUA